CUGUAGUGUGUUAAGAGCGCGCGGUGGAUGCCUUGACACUGUGAGACGAAGAAGGACGUAGCAGCCUGCGAUAAGCUUCGGGGAGGUGGCAAGCAACCUUUGAUCCGGAGAUUUCCCAAUGGGGGAACCCGUUCAAUUUUAUUGAACACUGUAUGCUGAAUCCAUAGGCAUACGGAGACAACCUGGUGAAGUGAAACAUCUCAGUAGCCAGAGGAAAAGAAAAUACGACAAGCCUCACUUUCAAUUCCUAAUUUCUAAUUUCCAAUCCGCAAGGGUUGGAGUUAGAUAUUAGGAAUUUGUGAGAGCAUGAUUCCCUUAGUAGUGGCGAGCGAAAGGGGAAGAGCCUAAACCUAUACUGUGUUGGCAUCGCGAAAAAAGGAGUCUUUGACUUUUUUCGACGCGGUGCCUUAAAGGGCAGGCCGUUGCAGUACAGGUGUAGAAAGAUAAGAACUUCAGUUUCCUGAUAAAACUGAAUAUUGCGUGUCCAUGUAUAGUCGAAGACUCCUGGAACGGAGCAUCUUAGAAGGUGAUAAUCCUGUAGACGAAAUACAUAGACCCAGUAUCGUUCUUGUUCUUGAGUACGGCGAGACACGAGAAAUCUCGUCGGAAGCAAGGCCGACUAUGGUCUAAGGCUAAAUACUCACAGUGAUCGAUAGUGAACCAGUACCGCGAGGGAAAGGUGAAAAGCAGCCCGGCGAGGGCGGUGAAAUAGAUCCUGAAACCGUGCGCUUACAAUGAGCCGGAGCCUGCAAGGGUGACGGUGUUCCUAUUGAAGAAUGAGCCUACGAGUUACUCGGUGCGGCAAGGUUAAGUCCUUCUGGGACGGAGCCGAAGGGAAACCAAGUCUGAAAGGGCGUUUAGUCGCAAUGAGUAGACCCGAAACCGGGUGCGCAAUCCAUGGCCAGGAUGAGCCCUGUAGAGAUACAGGGGGAGGUCCGAACCCACUUGCUGUGCAACACAAGGGGAUGAGCUGUGGAUAGGAGAGAAAUUCUAAUCGAACUCGGUAAUAGCUGGUUCUCCUCGAAAUAGCUUUUGGGCUAGCUGCGUAUGAUCCCUCCGGUGGUAGAGCACUGGAUGAAAGUUGGGUCCUUCGGGAUACCACUUUCAAUCAAACUCCGAAUGCCGGGGAUUACAAUAUGCAAGUCAGACCGUGAGGGCUAAGCUUCACCGGUCAAAAGGGAAACAGCCCAGAUCGCCAGUUAAGGUCCCUAAAUCGAUACUAAGUGUAAAAGGUGGUGUCAAUUCUCUAACAACCAGGAGGUUGGCUUAGAAGCAGCCAUCCUUUAAAGAUAGCGUAAUAGCUCACUGGUCAAGAGUUUUCGCGCCGAAAAUGUACCGGGGCUAAGUAUCGUACCGAAACUGCGAACUCCCGAAGGAAACUUUGGUUUCAAUUCCGUGUUUAGCGCAUUUCUCAGAAAAAAUGCCGCGGCAUUUUUUCUGAGAAAUGAAAUUUGAAAGCAAAGUUUCCUUCGGGAUUGGUAGAGGAGCAUUCUGAACUGCUGCGAAGCAUAUGGCGUGAGCCAGUGUGGAGCGUUCAGAAGAGAGAAUGUAGGCACAAGUAGCACAUAUCCGGGUGAGAGUCCCGGACGCCGAAAAUCCAAGGUUUCCAGGGCCACGAGAAUCGUCCCUGGGUUAGUCGAUCCUAAGGCCAGUCCGCGAUAAGCGGAGUAACCGAUGGAAGAGCAGGUUAAUAUUCCUGCACUCGAGAGCGUGUUGUCACCGUAUCCGCAUCAAGCGCGGUGUGAGCGUAUUUAGGCAAUGUACGUCCCGCAAGGGAGAGACUGAACCGCAAGGUUCGGACAAUUCACGCUGAACAGGUGCCAAGAAAAGUAUGGUGGCGUAAUAGCGCUCGCGAAUCGUACCGGAAACCGACACCGGUGGAUAGGUCGAGCAGACCAAGGCGGACGAGAGAAACAUGGUUAAGGAACUAGGCAAAACAGCGGCCGUAACUUCGGGAUAAGGCCUUCCCGACUCAGUCGGGAUCAACAAAAGACUCCAUGCAACUGUUUACCAAAAACACAGCUCCCUGCUAACUCGAAAGAGGAUGUAUAGGGGGCGAUGCCUGGCCAGUGUCAGAACGUUAAGGGGAGAGGUCAUGCCACUUCGGUGGCGGCAGCUUUGAUCCGAAGCGCUGAUGAACGCCGGCGGUAACUAUAACCGUCCUAAGGUAGCGAAAUUCCUUGUCGGGUGAGUUCCGACCCGCACGAAUGGCAUAAUGAUGUGGAGACUGUCUUAACCAUGUACUCGGCGAAAAUGCAAGUGUCGUGAAGAUGCGACAUACCCGCAACUAGACGAAAAGACCCCGUGAAGCUUUACUACAACUUGAUAUUGGCGCAUUGCUUCACAUGUUCAGCAUAGGUGGGAGCCCGAAAGGGCGACAGUGAGAUACCACCCUUGUGUAGUGAUGCGUCUAAUCUUGGACCAUGAAUCUGGCCUAGGAGACAGUAUCUGGUGGGUAGUUUAACUGGGGCGGUUGCCUCCUAAAAUGUAACGGAGGCGUUUACAAAGGUCGGCUUAGUCCGGAUGGAAAUCGGACUGGACGUGCAAACGCAAAAGCCGGCUUUACUGCAAGGGCUACCACCCGAGCAGUCGCGAAAGCGGAAGUUAGUGAUCCGACCGUACGAUAUAGGACGGCGGAAGCUCAACGGAUAAAAGUUACUCCGGGGAUAACAGGCUGAUCGCGCCCAAGCGUCCAUAGCGACGGCGCGGUUUGGCACCUCGAUGUCGGCUCAUCGCAUCCUGGGGCUGGAGAAGG
rfam:Parcubacteria (Magasanikbacteria) bacterium GW2011_GWA2_56_11 TY92_C0003, whole genome shotgun sequence.